rnacentral:lncRNA from 1 species
UUGUACAUAUUGAUGUUGUAUCUUAUCCCAUGAGUUCGAUCUUAAAGCUAAGUAAACUAAAAAAUCAUAGCACUUGUGAUUCCACUCGUUUGUAGACUUGUUUAGAAUCCAUGAUACGAUAAAUCAUUUGAUUGGAAAUGUAAAUGUAGUCAUGAAAUGCGCCUGCUUAGUCAAGAUUCCCCUAAUAAAUAUUCAAGUUCAUUACAAAGUUAUACAUGUAUGAAUAAUGUCCUUUCGUAGGUUAUGUUUUGAAGAGAAGCAAGAAUGAAUCUCAUAAAAGUCAUUAAUAUCAGUAGGAGAUGAUGUGAGAUUUGUUGUAAAUGAGUAAAGGGAAAAUGAAUCAGGAGGGUAACCAACUGUUGCGUUUGUUCUCAUUUGGUCCCUUUCCUUUUUUUUGUACUCAAUAUACCAUCGAACUUGUUUUCUGUGUUCACCAUAACCCUUUGACCGGCUAUCACAGGUCAAAAGCCGGUCAAAAGGGCUAUGGUAAACACCAACAACAAGUUCGAUGAUAUAUUGAAUACAAAAAAAAGAAAAGGGACCAAAUGAGUACAAACGCAAAAGUUAAUU